rnacentral:lncRNA from 1 species
AUGCUGUGUCCCUGCUGUCCCCAUCGCUGUGUUCCCACACUCCUCAUCACUGUAUCCCCGCUGUCUCCAUCACUGUCCCCCCGCUGUCCUUAUCACAGUAUCCCUGUUGUCCCCAUAACUGUAUCCCUGCUGUCCUUAUCUCUGUAUCCCUGCUGCCCCUAUUGCAGUGCUCCCGUGGUCCCCAUCACUAUAUCCCCAUUAUCCCUGUCACUGUGUCCCCAUUGCUGUGUCCCCGCUGUCCCCACCACUGCAUCCCCACCACUGUGUCCCUCUGUCCCCAUCCCUGUACGCUCACUGUCUCCAUUGCUGUGUCCUCACUGUCCACAUCGCUGCAUCCCUGCUGUCCUUAUCUCUGUAUCCCUGCUGUACCCAUCACAGUAUCCCCACUGUACCCAUCAUUGUGCCCCACUGUCCCUAUCACUGUAUCCCCACAGCCCCCACUGUAGUAUCCCCAUUGUCCCCAUCACUUUAUCCCUGCUGUCCCCAUCACUGUGUCCCUGCUGUUCCUAUCACAGUAUUCCCAUUGCCCCACAACUGUAUCCCUGCUGUCAUUAUCUCUGUAUCCCUUCUGUCUCCACCACUGCAUCUCCAUUCCCGUGUCCCUCUGUCCCCACUGUCCCCAUCACUAUAUCCCUGCUGGUCCCAUCACUGUGUCCCCACUGUCCCCAUCACUGCAUCCCUAUCGCUGUGUUCCUCUGUCCCCAUCACUGUAUCCCUGCUGUCCCCACCACUGUAUCCCCACUGUCCCCAUUGCAGUAUCCCCAUUGUCCCCAUCCCUGUAUCCUCACUUCCCCAUCCCUGUACCCCCAUCGUCCCCACCACUCUAUCCCCACCAUCCCCUCCACUGUGUCCCCACUGUCCCCAUCCCUGUAUCCCCACCGUCCCCAUUGCUGUAUCCCCAUUGUCCCCAUCACUUUAUCCCUGCCGUCCCCAUCUCGGCAUCCCCUCUGUCCCCAUCUCUGUGUCCCUGCUGUCCCCAUCUCUACAUCCCCGCUGUCCCCGCGGUGGCCACACGCUGUUGCGGGGUGCGGCCGUGCGCUCGGCUCCGCAGCCCGGUGCGGUGCGGAUAGCGGAGGGUCCCUCUGUUCUGAGCUCACCCCGUCCCCAGGAAGGGGGGGAGGGAGGGAGGCCGCUGCCCACCGCCCCUCCCGCCCGCGCCACACACAGCCACACGAUUCCCGACAAUUAGGAGGACACCUAUUCAGCACCGCUCCCGUGGCUUUUGUUCCAUCUCCGCUCCGCCGACGAAAAGCUUUCCCCCACUCCGCCCGACCGCGUUAA